AGACCUUUCAGCUCCAGCCACCGGCGAGGCCAUUAAUAGAGGCCAAGCUGGUUCAAACUUUCCAAGCAAGCUCGAAGCGCCGGACAACCAUUGUCCUCUCCACGACUCCACUCCACCUCCAGCUCCCUUCUCCUCUUCUCAUCGCCGACGAGCAGCCAACGAAGUGCACACGUCCCGGGCGUAGCAACUGCUGUCCUUCUCCUCCCCCGCUGGACUCAAGGGAGAGAGGUGACUGGGCUUCCAUCGACGACCAUUCACCCUGCGCGCGGCCUGGAUCCCUCGCCGAAACUCCACCUCGACGAAAGCGAGCUCCGCCGCCCGCCACUCUGUUAGGCCUCCACCACCGGGAAAGCGAGCUCCGCAGCUCCUACUCUGAACUCCACCUCGACGACGAGAAGCACGAGCCGCGUGGAACUGCAGCCGCUGCUGCAGAUCUUUUCCUCGCCAGCCUCUCCGCUGUCGGGCGACGAGACCACCACUCCCCUACGCGCGGCCUUGUCCACGAUCUCCUCACUCACCUGCUCCCCGCCGCUGAGAAAGCGAGCUCCGCCUCCCGUCUUUUCCAAGAGAAUAGAAUAGACAAGGUGAGUCAGCAGAACGCAACCCCUUCUCUCUAUACUUAUCAUUUAGUUGUGUAAAUGCAUUUUGCCAUCUUUAGCUAGUAGCUGUUCCAUAUCCUUGUGCAGAGGCUGUGAACUCGCCGACGAACGAGCAGCUAGCUAAGGAGUGAGUCGCUUCAAGAAAUCUUCUUCCACACGCCCGCCUAGAUCCGUAGCGCACUAAGUUUAUGCAUGGUUUAAAAAGUUGGGCUGAUCGGGUAGUGAGCACUUACGUCUGCAGUUCCCUUAAUAUGAAGAAAAAGAAACCCCCGGAUCAAGAACAAAAUGUCCUCAUAUUUGGAAUGGAUCGCAUAGGAAAUAGGCAUCCCUACCGAGGGAGGGGAGUCAUCAGGUAUUGAACCCCAUACUUCUUCCUCCCUGAGUUGAG